AACCGGGGCUAAUACCGGAUGGUUGUUUGAACCGCAUGGUUCAAACAUAAAAGGUGGCUUCGGCUACCACUUACAGAUGGACCCGCGGCGCAUUAGCUAGUUGGUGAGGUAAUGGCUCACCAAGGCAACGAUGCGUAGCCGACCUGAGAGGGUGAUCGGCCACACUGGGACUGAGACACGGCCCAGACUCCUACGGGAGGCAGCAGUAGGGAAUCUUCCGCAAUGGACGAAAGUCUGACGGAGCAACGCCGCGUGAGUGAUGAAGGUUUUCGGAUCGUAAAGCUCUGUUGUUAGGGAAGAACAAGUACCGUUCGAAUAGGGCGGUACCUUGACGGUACCUAACCAGAAAGCCACGGCUAACUACGUGCCAGCAGCCGCGGUAAUACGUAGGUGGCAAGCGUUGUCCGGAAUUAUUGGGCGUAAAGGGCUCGCAGGCGGUUUCUUAAGUCUGAUGUGAAAGCCCCCGGCUCAACCGGGGAGGGUCAUUGGAAACUGGGGAACUUGAGUGCAGAAGAGGAGAGUGGAAUUCCACGUGUAGCGGUGAAAUGCGUAGAGAUGUGGAGGAACACCAGUGGCGAAGGCGACUCUCUGGUCUGUAACUGACGCUGAGGAGCGAAAGCGUGGGGAGCGAACAGGAUUAGAUACCCUGGUAGUCCACGCCGUAAACGAUGAGUGCUAAGUGUUAGGGGGUUUCC
rnacentral:rRNA from 1 species